rnacentral:rRNA from 1 species
GAUGAACGCUGGCGGCGUGCCUAAUACAUGCAAGUCGAGCGAACAGACGAGGAGCUUGCUCCUCGGACGUUAGCGGCGGACGGGUGAGUAACACGUGGAUAACCUACUUAUAAGACUGGGAUAACUUCGGGAAAGCGGAGCUAAUACCGGAUAAUAUAUUGAACCGCAUGGUUCAAUAGUGAAAGACGGUGUUGCUGUCACGUCUAGAGGGAUCCGCGCCGCAUUAGCUAGUUGGUAAGGUAACGGCUUACCAAGGCGACGAUGCGUAGCCGACCUGAGAGGGUGAUCGGCCACACUGGAACUGAGACACGGUCCAGACUCCUACGGGAGGCAGCAGUAGGGAAUCUUCCGCAAUGGGCGAAAGCCUGACGGAGCAACGCCGCGUGAGUGAUGAAGGUCUUCGGAUCGUAAAACUCUGUUAUUAGGGAAGAACAAAUGUGUAAGUAACUAUGCACGUCUUGACGGUACCUAAUCAGAAAGCCACGGCUAACUACGUG